rnacentral:rRNA from 1 species
UACGUAGGGUGCGAGCGUUGUCCGGAAUUACUGGGCGUAAAGAGCUUGUAGGUGGUUUGUCGCGUUGUUCGUGAAAUCUCACGGCUCAACUGUGAGCGUGCGGGCGAUACGGGCAGACUAGAGUACUGCAGGGGAGACUGGAAUUCCUGGUGUAGCGGUGAAAUGCGCAGAUAUCAGGAGGAACACCGGUGGCGAAGGCGGGACUCUGGGCCGAUACUGACGCUGAGGAGCGAAAGCGUGGGGAGCAAACAGG